AACGAACGCUGGCGGCAUGCCUAACACAUGCAAGUCGAACGAGACCUUCGGGUCUAGUGGCGCACGGGUGCGUAACGCGUGGGAACCUGCCCUUAGGUUCGGAAUAACUCCCCGAAAGGGGUGCUAAUACCGGAUAAUGUCUUCGGACCAAAGAUUUAUCGCCUUUGGAUGGGCCCGCGUUGGAUUAGCUAGUUGGUAGUGUAAAAGCCUACCAAGGCGACGAUCCAUAGCUGGUCUGAGAGGAUGAUCAGCCACACUGGGACUGAGACACGGCCCAGACUCCUACGGGAGGCAGCAGAGGGGAAUAUUGGACAAGGGGCGAAAGCCUGAUACAGCAACGCCGCGUGAGUGAUGAAGGCCGUAGGGUUGUAAAGCUCUUUUACCCGGGAUGAUAAUGACAGUACCGGGAGAAGAAGCACCGGCUAACUCCGUG
rnacentral:rRNA from 1 species